rnacentral:rRNA from 1 species
AGAGUUUGAUCCGGGCUCAGGACGAACGCUGGCGGCGUGCUUAACACAUGCAAGUCGAACGGUAAGGCUCUUCGGAGUACACGAGUGGCGAACGGGUGAGUAACACGUGAGCAACCUGCCCUUCACUCUGGAAUAACAAUUGGAAACAGUUGCUAAUACCGGAUAUGAGCUCCGCAGACAUCUGCGGGGCUGGAAAGCUCCGGCGGUGAAGGAUGGGCUCGCGGCCUAUCAGCUUGUUGGUGAGGUAACGGCUCACCAAGGCGUCGACGGGUAGCCGGCCUGAGAGGGCGACCGGCCACACUGGGACUGAGAUACGGCCCAGACUCCUACGGGAGGCAGCAGUGGGGAAUAUUGCACAAUGGGCGAAAGCCUGAUGCAGCAACGCCGCGUGCGGGAUGAAGGCCUCCGGGUUGUAAACCGCUUUCAGCUCCGACGAAGCGCAAGUGACGGUAGGAGCAGAAGAAGCACCGGCCAACUACGUGCCAGCAGCCGCGGUGAUACGUAGGGUGCGAGCGUUGUCCGGAAUUAUUGGGCGUAAAGAGCUUGUAGGCGGCUUGUCACGUCGGAAGUGAAAACUCGGGGCUUAACCCCGAGCCUGCUUCCGAUACGGGCAGGCUAGAGGAAGGUAGGGGAGAACGGAAUUCCGGGUGGAGCGGUGGAAUGCGCAGAUAUCCGGAGGAACACCGGUGGCGAAGGCGGUUCUCUGGACCUUUCCUGACGCUGAGAAGCGAAAGCGUGGGGAGCAAACAGGCUUAGAUACCCUGGUAGUCCACGCCGUAAAACGGUGGGCACUAGGUGUGGGACUCAUUUCCACGAGUUCCGUGCCGUAGCUAACGCAUUAAGUGCCCCGCC